rnacentral:lncRNA from 1 species
GACUUCCCUGUGGCCCAAUAGGAAGAAGGAUGAACACAGAGCCACUUCAAUGAUUUCAGAACCCGGUGUUGGUAAAAAUCAAGAAGCCUCGCCCUUAGCAUCAGCUUUGUGACAGGGACCUAUCCUCAAGAGACCCAUUGGAGCUAAUGGCACUUUGGAGGCACGGUCCCUCCUGACCGCACAGGACCCCAAAGUACCGAGCUCCUGAGCCCUCCUGCCCCUCACUGCCAAGUAGAGAAGCAGACUCGUGGAGCCACUCCAGGAGGCAGAGGAGAGGGCCAGCAAGACUGUGCUGAGCCAGGAGCAGUGUCUGUUCAUGCAGACAGGGGCUAUUCUUAAAGACCAGAGCUACAACCUGCAACCUCAAUACCAGUCUCAUGGAAAGAAACAUCGUCUCAACCCUCCUACAGUCAAGGCUCUCCUGAGCAUAGGUACACAUCUACGCCACAAGGAGAAUGGCGAUUUAAGCAAAAACAAAGAUGCAACCGAAAGAAAUAUGCCCUGGAAGGUAUUUUGUCUAUGGCUCCCUCUUGUCUUCCUCGCUACUUCCUCGAUACCUUGAGGCCAGCAACUUGGCUCUGUGACAGCCUUCUCUCUCCGAGGUGUUAUGCUUCCUCAUAAGCCCAUGGCAAUGGAGACUGCUAACCAUGAACCGAAACUGUUGAGCCCAAACAAACUUCCCUCCUUUAGGGUGUUUCUCUCAGUGUUUGUCACAGCAACCCAAAGGGUCAGAAUGGGAAGCUGAGCUCCUUCCAAAACACUCCAAUUUGAUCUCGCCUGCACAAUGGAUGAAACCAACUGCGACUAUAUCCAGAAUGGCUUGUAAGAUGGGACUAUGUCUAGGACAGAGAGACAUGGGGGACAGAAGGGGAGAAAAAAGCUAAAAAUGUCCACCAACAGGAUAGCUCUGUGGUUAGGAGCACUGGCUGCCCUUGCAGAGGACCAGGUAUGGCUCCAAACACCCACAUGGCAGCUCACAACCAUCUGUAACUCCAGUUGCAUAGGCUCUGGUGGCCUCUUCUGGCCUCCAUGGCCCAUGGGAACACUAAACACUCAUAAUUUUUCAAUAAAAAUCAAAAAUACUGAAUUUGAUGGGCAGGCUGGUGGACCA